UUGGUGACUGGUACACCGGCUCCUGC
rnacentral:piRNA from 1 species